AUUGAACGCUGGCGGCAGGCUUAACACAUGCAAGUCGAGCGGAAACGAUGAUAGCUUGCUAUCAGGCGUCGAGCGGCGGACGGGUGAGUAAUACUUAGGAAUCUACCUAGUAGUGGGGGAUAGCUCGGGGAAACUCGAAUUAAUACCGCAUACGUCCUACGGGAGAAAGCAGGGGAUCAUUAGACCUUGCGCUAUUAGAUGAGCCUAAGUCGGAUUAGCUAGAUGGUGGGGUAAAGGCCUACCAUGGCGACGAUCUGUAGCUGGUCUGAGAGGAUGAUCAGCCACACCGGGACUGAGACACGGCCCGGACUCCUACGGGAGGCAGCAGUGGGGAAUAUUGGACAAUGGGGGGAACCCUGAUCCAGCCAUGCCGCGUGUGUGAAGAAGGCCUUUUGGUUGUAAAGCACUUUAAGCAGUGAAGAAGACUCUUCGGUUAAUACCCGGGGACGAUGACAUUAGCUGCAGAAUAAGCACCGGCUAACUCUG
rnacentral:rRNA from 1 species